rnacentral:rRNA from 1 species
GCGGUAAUACAGAGGGUGCAAGCGUUAAUCGGAAUUACUGGGCGUAAAGCGCGCGUAGGUGGUUUGUUAAGUUGGAUGUGAAAUCCCCGGGCUCAACCUGGGAACUGCAUUCAAAACUGACUGACUAGAGUAUGGUAGAGGGUGGUGGAAUUUCCUGUGUAGCGGUGAAAUGCGUAGAUAUAGGAAGGAACACCAGUGGCGAAGGCGACCACCUGGACUGAUACUGACACUGAGGUGCGAAAGCGUGGGGAGCAAACAGGAUUAGAUA